rnacentral:rRNA from 1 species
GUGGGGAAUCUUCCGCAAUGGACGAAAGUCUGACGGAGCAACGCCGCGUGAGUGAAGAAGGUUUUCGGAUCGUAAAGCUCUUUCGUUAGGGACGAACGUGCUCUUUGUGAAUAAUGAGGAGUAAUGACGGUACCUAAAUAAGAAGCCACGGCUAACUACGUGCCAGCAGCCGCGGUAAUACGUAGGUGGCAAGCGUUGUCCGGAAAUAUUGGGCGUAAAGCGCGCGCAGGCGGGAUAUCAAGUCUGUCUUAAAAGUGCGAGGCUCAACCUCGUGAGGGGACAGAAACUGGUAUUCUUGAGUGUCGGAGAGGAAAGUGGAAUUCCAAGUGUAGCGGUGAAAUGCGUAGAGAUUUGGAAGAACACCAGUGGCGAAGGCGGCUUACUGGACUGUAACUGACGCUGAGGCGCGAAAGUGUGGGGAGCAAACAGGAUUAGAAACCCGGGUAGUCC